rnacentral:rRNA from 1 species
AACGAACGCUGGCGGCAUGCCUAACACAUGCAAGUCGAACGAGACCUUCGGGGCUAGUGGCGCACGGGUGCGUAACGCGUGGGAACCUGCCCUUAGGUUCGGAAUAACUCCCCGAAAGGGGUGCUAAUACCGGAUAAUGUCUUCGGACCAAAGAUUUAUCGCCUUUGGAUGGGCCCGCGUUGGAUUAGCUAGUUGGUAGGGUAAAAGCCUACCAAGGCGACGAUCCAUAGCUGGUCUGAGAGGAUGAUCAGCCACACUGGGACUGAGACACGGCCCAGACUCCUACGGGAGGCAGCAGUGGGGAAUAUUGGACAAUGGGCGAAAGCCUGAUCCAGCAAUGCCGCGUGAGUGAUGAAGGCCUUAGGGUUGUAAAGCUCUUUUACCCGGGAUGAUAAUGACAGUACCGGGAGAAUAAGCUCCGGCUAACCCCGUG